rnacentral:rRNA from 1 species
GGGCCCGCACAAGCGGUGGAGCAUGUGGUUUAAUUCGAUGAUACGCGAGGAACCUUACCAGGGCUUAAAUGCAGAACGACAGAGGUGGAAACACCUCCUUCUUCGGACGGUCUGCAAGGUGCUGCAUGGUUGUCGUCAGCUCGUGCUGUGAAGUGUCGGGUUAAGUCCCAUAACGAGCGCAACCCCUAUUUCUAGUUGCCAGCGGUUCGGCCGGGGACUCUAGAGAAACUGCCAGCGUAAGCUGUGAGGAAGGUGGGGAUGACGUCAAAUCAUCACGGCCCUUACGUCCUGGGCCACACACGUGCUACAAUGGCCGGUACAAAGGGCAGCGAAGCCGCAAGGUGGAG